GGGGAAUAUUGCACAAUGGGCGAAAGCCUGAUGCAGCGACGCCGCGUGAGGGAUGGAGGCCUUCGGGUUGUAAACCUCUUUCGCUCAUGGUCAAGCCGCAACACAUGGUUGUGGUGAGGGUAGUGGGUAAAGAAGCGCCGGCUAACUACGUGCCAGCAGCCGCGGUAAUACGUAGGGCGCGAGCGUUGUCCGGAAUUAUUGGGCGUAAAGGGCUUGUAGGCGGUUGGUCGCGUCUGCCGUGAAAUCCUCUGGCUUAACUGGGGGCGUGCGGUGGGUACGGGCUGACUUGAGUGCGGUAGGGGAGACUGGAACUCCUGGUGUAGCGGUGGAAUGCGCAGAUAUCAGGAAGAACACCGGUGGCGAAGGCGGGUCUCUGGGCCGUUACUGACGCUGAGGAGCGAAAGCGUGGGGAGCGAACAGGAUUAGAUACCCUGGUAGUCCACGCUGUAAACGUUGGGCACUAGGUGUGGGGGCCACCCGUGGUUUCUGCGCCGUAGCUAACGCUUUAAGUGCCCCGCCUGGGGAGUACGGCCGCAAGGCUA
rnacentral:rRNA from 1 species